UACGUAGGUGGCAAGCGUUGUCCGGAUUUACUGGGUGUAAAGGGCGUGCAGCCGGGCAGGCAAGUCAGAUGUGAAAUCUGGAGGCUCAACCUCCAAACUGCAUUUGAAACUGCUUGUCUUGAGUAUCGGAGAGGUCAUCGGAAUUCCUUGUGUAGCGGUGAAAUGCGUAGAUAUAAGGAAGAACACCAGUGGCGAAGGCGGAUGACUGGACGACAACUGACGGUGAGGCGCGAAAGCGUGGGGAGCAAACAGG
rnacentral:rRNA from 1 species